GCCCAGACUCCUACGGGAGGCAGCAGUGGGGGAUAUUGCACAAUGGGGGAAACCCUGAUGCAGCGACGCCGCGUGGGUGAAGAAGCGCCUCGGCGCGUAAAGCCCUGUCAGCAGGGAAGAAAAUGACGGUACCUGAAGAAGAAGCCCCGGCUAACUACGUGCCAGCAGCCGCGGUAAUACGUAGGGGGCAAGCGUUAUCCGGAUUUACUGGGUGUAAAGGGAGCGCAGGCGGCCUUGCAAGUCUGAUGUGAAAGGCCGGGGCCCAACCCCGGGACUGCAUUGGAAACUGCGAGGCUGGAGUGUCGGAGAGGCAGGCGGAAUUCCUAGUGUAGCGGUGAAAUGCGUAGAUAUUAGGAGGAACACCAGUGGCGAAGGCGGCCUACUGGACGGUGACUGACGCUGAGGCUCGAAAGCGUGGGGAGCAAACAGGAUUAGAUACCCUCGUA
rnacentral:rRNA from 1 species